UAAAAGGAAUAAUAUGAAGAAAGAAGAAAAGCAACAGCAGGAGCAGGCAGCCUGCCAGAGGCUGGUUCCAAAAGGUGCUUAAUGCUUACACUUGCAGCGAACAACAGUUACAUUUUACGCAGAGAGAUGGAUAGUGUUUAACAGAAGCAAUUUUUUAUUCGUUCCCUGCUCCUCUCUCGUCCUUAUCCACCCACCCUUUCAACAUCUUCCUCUGAUUUACAUUUUCGAUCUCAAACUAACCACCAAUCAAUUAAAUAAAUAAAAUUUCAUGACAGCUUCGUCGUAGUCGUCGUCAUCAGGUCACCUCCGUCUCAUGCCCGAUCUCCAACCAUUUUUGGCCCAGAUGAGACUCCUUAGGAAGGUGGUGUUUAAAGCAUAAGGUUGACAUUUGGUGAGAUUUACCCAUAAAAGCCACCUCGCGUUCGAUUCACCUGUGAAAUGUUUCAUCCUAAUGGACUCCUUUCACUGUGGCUGAGAGCAAGAUUAGGAAUCAGUAACUCGGCUAGAAGGGGAGGAUGGGAGGGCAUUGUGAUUCCGUUGCAGAAAAGCCAAAUGAUUGUGAGCAUUAAGUUAACUUUCUUUGUCAUUGUAAAAAAUAGUUUUAUUUUUGUUCCAAAACUCCUUUGUAAUUGUCUUCCAGUCUUUCCCCCCUCUAUUUAUCCUUUCAUUGUUCUUUUUGCAUUUGGCCUCUCUCCAGGUUUUAAUUUCUGUGUGUGAGCAUCUGAGUGUGGUUCCAUUCUCUUAGUGAGUACUCUUUUUGGUUUUUUAGAUGUACUAUCACUUUCCAUGUUUAACAUAGAAUGUCAGAUAGAAAGAGUUCUCUCUUGCUGCAAAUUAAAUGUGUUGCUAACCGUGGUCAAUUCACUUUAGUUUGACAACUGCUUUUUCAUGGUGAAUUCUCUUUUUUGUAUUGAGCAUGUUUUCACAGAUUGUUAAAUUGGACUUUUUGGUUGUAUGAGAUGAAUGUUACUUCCAUAUGUCAGUUACUGGGUUUCAUAUUGCCGGAGCUUUUGCUCCACUAGUUUGUCUUCAUGUCAUCAACUUUUUGCACAAACAAGGUAAGUCUUUCAUGUCAUCAACAUAUUGUACAAAGUACAAGGAAGAUAAGUCUUUUGCUCCAUUAGUUUGCCUUCAUGUCAACAGUUUCAUAUGCCAGAGUUUUUGCUCCAUUAGCUCGUCUCAUGUCAGUUAAGUCUAUUCAAAUUGUGACUCUCCAUUCAUGCUCUUAAUUUACAAUCACUGGUCAUUGCUUUAGAAAUUAGAAAAGAUAAGACACACCAAAACUCCAGUGGAUUGACCAAAAGAUUGCUUUUCAUUGAGCCAAUGCAUGUAAAAUUGUGUGUUGACAAGAGAUUUCGUGUAUUUUUCUGGAGGCUAAUAAGUUAUACUAAUUGACCAAUUGGCAAUGGUGUUUCACCGCUUUAUAUUUCACAUAACAUUUUGGAAAAUUGGAUGCAAAUCAAAUUACCUUAUAAAUGAUUACAGUUUCUAUGUCCAAGUCAUCUUUAUUGUCUUUGUCUAUAUGGUUUCUCUAGGUCUAUGAAAAUUCUUGGGUGUUCAUUUUUGGCUGCAGCACACUGAAAUUCUGAAUAGCACAACUUAUUGAGUAGGCUCGUUUAGUUGUGAAUCUUUCUAAGCAAGGUUUGUGAAUGGCCUCGCUUCCCUCAACAAUUAGACUUGGCAGGAAGCUGACAUCAACUGAUUAUGCAGGGUUGCUGUGUGUUUUUCAGACCUUUCAUGGUAAUAUUUCCAUCAUAAUCAGCCUAAACCUCAUUGAGUUCAAUGAACAAUACUUGGUUGAAUGUCUGAUAUGUUCAAAGCUUUAUUUUUCUCCUUUAUUAUUAUGACAGGUAUUUAUUUUCCAUGAUACGGAGAAUAGAAAGUAUAGCCUGCUUUGCUCGGUUAUUCUUUUUUCUUAAAGCAAAAUGUUAAAGCAAAAACCAUA
rnacentral:misc_RNA from 1 species